rnacentral:rRNA from 1 species
AUACGUAGGGGGCGAGCGUUGUCCGGAAUGAUUGGGCGUAAAGGGCGCGCAGGCGGCGCGGUAAGUCUGGAGUGAAAGUCCUGCUUUCAAGGUGGGAAUUGCUUUGGAUACUGCCGCGCUUGAGUGCAGGAGAGGUUAUUGGAAUUCCCGGUGUAGCGGUGAAAUGCGUAGAGAUCGGGAGGAACACCAGUGGCGAAGGCGGGUAACUGGACUGCAACUGACGCUGAGGCGCGAAAGGGUGGGAGCAAACAGGAUUAGAUACCCUGGUAGUCCACACUGUAAACGAUGAAUGCUAGGUGUAAGAGGUAUCGACCCCUUUUGUGCCGGAGUCAACACAAUAAGCAUUCCGCCUGGGGAGUACGGCCGCAAGGUUGAAACUCAAAGGAAUUGACGGGG